AACGAACGCUGGCGGCAUGCCUAACACAUGCAAGUCGAACGAGAUCUUCGGGUCUAGUGGCGCACGGGUGCGUAACGCGUGGGAAUCUGCCCUUUGGUUCGGAAUAACAGUUGGAGACGACUGUUAAUACCGGAUGAUGACGAAAGUCCAAAGAUUUAUCGCCAGAGGAUGAGCCCGCGUAGGAUUAGCUAGUUGGUGUGGUAAAGGCGCACCAAGGCGACGAUCCUUAACUGGUCCGAGAGGAUGAUCAGCCACACUGGGACUGAGACACGGGCCAGAAUCCUACGGGAGGAAGCAGUGGGGAAUAUUGGACAAUGGGCGAAAGCCUGAUCCAGCAAGGCCGCGUGAGUGAUGAAGGCCUUAGGGUUGUAAAGCUCUUUUACCCGGGAUGAUAAUGACAGUACCGGGAGAAUAAGCUCCGGCUAACUCCGUGCCAGCCGCCGCCGUAA
rnacentral:rRNA from 1 species